AUUGAACGCUGGCGGCAGGCUUAACACAUGCAAGUCGAGCGGAGUGAUGGUGCUUGCACUAUCACUUAGCGGCGGACGGGUGAGUAAUGCUUAGGAAUCUGCCUAUUAGUGGGGGACAACAUCUCGAAAGGGAUGCUAAUACCGCAUACGUCCUACGGGAGAAAGCAGGGGAUCACUUGUGACCUUGCGCUAAUAGAUGAGCCUAAGUCGGAUUAGCUAGUUGGUGGGGUACAGGCCUACCAAGGCGACGAUCUGUAGCGGGUCUGAGAGGAUGAUCCGACACACUGGCACUGCGACACGGCCCAGACUCCUACGGGAGGUAGCAGUGGGGAAUAUUGGACAAUGGGGGGAACCCUGAUCCAGCCAUGCCGCGUGUGUGAAGAAGGCCUUAUGGUUGUAAAGCACUUUAAGCGAGGAGGAGGCUCUUUUGGUUAAUACCCAAGAUGAGUGGACGUUACUCGCAGAAUAAGCACCGGCUAACUCUGUGCCAGCCGCCGCAGUAAUAC
rnacentral:rRNA from 1 species